rnacentral:tRNA from 1 species
GCCCUCGUGGUGUAACGGUAGCACACUUGGCGCAUAUUCGAGAGGUCCGGGUUCGAGUCCCGGCGACGGCA